AUAUAUUUUGACACCCCUUAACCAAAAUUCUGGCUCCGCCACUGCUUACAAGUUACUUCUGACUUGUACUUUGUAUCUUCCCUUCCAUGGUAACAUAAUUGUGCUUGAACGUACUUUGCUACUGAUGAAAGCAUUUCUUUGUUUCAGAACUUCGUUGGCCUAUCUGUAGCUGAUGGUUACAUAGCAACUGGCUCAGAGACAAAUGAGGUUGUCAUCUACCACAAAGCUUUUCCUAUGCCCGCAUUAUCAUUUAAAUUUAAUAGCACAGAUCCGCUUUCUGGUGAUGAAGUGGACGACAGUGCACAGUUCAUCUCAUCCGUGUGUUGGCGUGGUCAGUCCUCUACCUUAGUUGCUGCAAAUUCUAUGGGAAAUAUCAAGCUCUUGGAGAUGGUCUAAUGUGGUUCAAGUCCCUAAAGUCUUGACCAUUACUUUAAGAAGAGGAAAGGAGUGAAGGGGAAGAGUUUUGCACGGGUAAAUGAGGGGAUUACACCUGCAUAUAUUGUUGUAGCUGAUAUAAACUAGAUACAAUACGAUGGUAACAAGUUGCCAUCAAGAAACAAAUAUUUUUGCAGUUAGUUCAUAGCGGAAGCAACUCUCUGGAAGUAUGAGAUUUUGUCUCAUAGCGGAAAGUGUUGUAAAUAAAUAUUGGUUUUGGAGAGGAGUGAAGAGUUGCAAGUGUUAGUUCUGUUUGUAUAUUCUAUAAUUUUGAAGUUGUUAAGAAAUUCACCGGAAUGUUAGAUCUUGGCCUGAUGUCGUCUUA